GACGAACGCUGGCGGCGUGCCUAAUACAUGCAAGUAGAACGCUGAAGGAGGAGCUUGCUUCUCUGGAUGAGUUGCGAACGGGUGAGUAACGCGUAGGUAACCUGCCUGGUAGCGGGGGAUAACUAUUGGAAACGAUAGCUAAUACCGCAUAAGAGUAGAUGUUGCAUGACAUUUGCUUAAAAGGUGCAAUUGCAUCACUACCAGAUGGACCUGCGUUGUAUUAGCUAGUUGGUGGGGUAACGGCUCACCAAGGCGACGAUACAUAGCCGACCUGAGAGGGGGAUCGGCCACACUGGGACUGGGACACGGCCCAGACUCCUACGGGAGGCAGCAGUAGGGAAUCUUCGGCAAUGGACGGAAGUCUGACCGAGCAACGCCGCGGGAGUGAAGAAGGUUUUCGGAUCCGAAAGCUCUGUUGUAAGAGAAGAACGAGGGGGAGAGUGGAAAGUUCACACUGUGACGGUAUCUUACCAGAAAGGGACGGCUAACUACGUG
rnacentral:rRNA from 1 species